rnacentral:rRNA from 1 species
GCUGCGGUCUUACCAUGCAAGUCGAACGAUGAAGCCGCUUCGGUGGUGGAUUAGUGGCGAACGGGUGAGUAACACGUGGGCAAUCUGCCCUGCACUCUGGGACAAGCCCUGGAAACGGGGUCUAAUACCGGAUACGACACAGGAAGGCAUCUUCUCUGUGUGGAAAGCUCCGGCGGUGCAGGAUGAGCCCGCGGCCUAUCAGCUUGUUGGUGGGGUGAUGGCCUACCAAGGCGACGACGGGUAGCCGGCCUGAGAGGGCGACCGGCCACACUGGGACUGAGACACGGCCCAGACUCCUACGGGAGGCAGCAGUGGGGAAUAUUGCACAAUGGGCGCAAGCCUGAUGCAGCGACGCCGCGUGAGGGAUGACGGCCUUCGGGUUGUAAACCUCUUUCAGCAGGGAAGAAGCGCAAGUGACGGUACCUGCAGAAGAAGCACCGGCUAACUACGUGCCAGCAGCCGCGGUAAUACGUAGGGUGCGAGCGUUGUCCGGAAUUAUUGGGCGUAAAGAGCUCGUAGGCGGCUUGUCACGUCGGAUGUGAAAGCCCGGGGCUUAACCCCGGGUCUGCAUUCGAUACGGGCAGGCUAGAGUUCGGUAGGGGAGAUCGGAAUUCCUGGUGUAGCGGUGAAAUGCGCAGAUAUCAGGAGGAACACCGGUGGCGAAGGCGGAUCUCUGGGCCGAUACUGACGCUGAGGAGCGAAAGCGUGGGGAGCGAACAGGAUUAGAUACCCUGGUAGUCCACGUCCGCAAACGUUGGGAACUAGGUGUGGGCGACAUUUCCACGUCGUUCCGUGCCGCAUCUAACGCAUUAUGUUCCCCCGCCUGGGGAGUACGGGCCGCAGGGU